ACUAAGAUCCCAGCGGAGGCGCAUGUUUUUUGUGUCAUGGUGUAAAGGGUCUUGAAAAAUAGAGGAACAAGUUCGGAAAAUUAUUGUAAAAGUGUUUAGAAGGAAAAUCUGCCGGAAAAGUGAAGAAAAAUGUUGUAAAAAUACGGAGAAGCAAGGCGAUAUGGGCUAAAAGUGAGUGAAAGUGAUUGGCAAAUAAAAGAAAAAAAAAAGGAUUGCAGGAACUACACAUAUGAAGAGCGGAAAGCAGACAGCAACAAAAGGAAACAGCAAGUAAUAUUCAACGUUACACUAUCGAAUUACACAUAUGAUCAGUCCACUCAAAUUGGGAGCCAUCUCACGCACUACCAAGCGGUGGAUAAUACAGGAAAAUCUGAGAAAAUGGAAAUAAAUCUUCGAUGCGAGUCUCUCUCAGGUGCAACCCUUGGCACUAAUCGGAAUUUGGAAACCAAUCAAAGAGCGCUUCCAAUUCCCGCUCCGCUUACCUUUCUUAUUGAUGACUUUUGGACAACGACAACCCACCCCCCCCGGAAAGUGUGGGGCUUGUGAAAUAUAUUGACAACUUUGAUCUUUUUAAUUUCUGUCCCUGGAAUUUGAAACUU